rnacentral:rRNA from 1 species
CUCUUAAAAUAUUUUAAGUAGUCUCUGCCCGAUGAAAUAUCAAUGGCCGCAGUACUCUGACUGUGCAAAGGUAGCAUAAUCACUUGUUUUUUAAUUGAAAACUGGAAUGAAAGAGUUGACGUAAAAUGAGCUUUUUUUAUAAAAAUUUAACUUGACAUUAGAAUCAAAAGGUUCUAAUUAUAUAGAAAGACGAUAAGACCCUGUGAAAUUUUACUUAAUUAAUAAAAUUACACACAGAGAUUUAUUUUAUAAAUAAGUUCAACUGGGGCGGUUAAUAUAUCAUAACUAUUUUAUAUAAAAUACAAAAAUGUAAAUACUAAAAACACUUAUAUGUAAAAUUGAAUAAAUUACUCCAGGGAUAACAGCACAAUUCCUUUUUAUAGAACGCAUAGACAAUGGAGUUUGUGACCUCGAUGUUGAAUUGGAAAUACUUACUAAAGCAAAAA